GGGAUAGCUCAGUCGGUACAGCAUGUGACUCUUAAUCUCAGGUCAUGGGUUCAAUCUCCACUUUGGCCA